rnacentral:piRNA from 1 species
UAUGUUCAAAAAUAUUGUUUC